rnacentral:rRNA from 1 species
ACACGGAGGGCGCAAGCGUUGCUCGGAAUCACUGGGCGUAAAGCGGGUGUAGGCGGUCUAGCAAGUCAGAUGUGAAAGCCCACGGCUCAACCGUGGAAGUGCAUCUGAAACUGCUAGACUUGAGUGCCGGAGAGGGAAGUGGAAUUCCUGGUGUAGGGGUGAAAUCCGUAGAUAUCAGGAGGAACACCGGUGGCGAAGGCGACUUCCUGGACGGCCACUGACGCUGAGACCCGAAAGCGUGGGGAGCAAACAGGAUUAGUUACCCUGUAGUCC